GGGGAACCGGAAACCAGCACCAUUCAGCCCUGUGCCAAAACUUCCUUUCACCACAAAUGGUGUCAGGAGACACUGCCGAAAAGUGGAAGGAAUAGAGAAAGUGGGCGUGUGCAACCCCAGAUCUGACUCUUGUUAGAGCAGGCUCUGAGCCAGGUGAGUCAUGUGUUAACAAAAUUCUGCCUCCUGCUGAGACCGGCACCACUUCUGAGGACCCAAGUUGCCCUGCGUCUGCCCAGGUUGCAAGACCCCAUUAGGGAUUUUUCCUGCUGUACUCCUUUGGACUCAAUCACUGAAGAUACAACUGAUGAAAAUUUUGAAAUA
rnacentral:lncRNA from 1 species